rnacentral:rRNA from 1 species
UACGUAGGGGGGCAAGCGUUGUCCGGAUUUAUUGGGCGUAAAGAGCGUGUAGGCGGCCGUACAGGUCAGCUGUGAAAACUCGAGGCUCAACCUCGAGACGUCGGUUGAAACCGUACGGCUAGAGUCCGGAAGAGGAGAGUGGAAUUCCCGGUGUAGCGGUGAAAUGCGCAGAUAUCGGGAAGAACACCCGUGGCGAAGGCGGCUCUCUGGGAACGGACUGACGCUGAGACGCGAAAGCGUGGGGAGCAAACAGG